AUUGAACGCUGGCGGCAGGCCUAACACAUGCAAGUCGAGCGAGCGGCGGACGGGUGAGUAAUGUCUGGGAAACUGCCUGAUGGAGGGGGAUAACUACUGGAAGCGGUAGCUAAUACCGCAUACCAUCAGACCUGCCCCGAUGGGAUUAGCUAGUGGGUGGGGUAACGGCUCACCUAGGCGACGAUCCCUAGCUGGUCUGAGAGGAUGACCAGCCACACUGGAACUGAGACACGGUCCAGACUCCUACGGGAGGCAGCAGUGGGGAAUAUUGCACAAUGGGCGAAAGCCUGAUGCAGCCAUGCCGCGUGUGUGAAGAAGGCCUUCGGGUUGUAAAGUACUUUCAGCGGGGAGGCGUUACCAGCAGAAGAAGCACCGGCUAACUCCGUGCCAGCAGCCGCGGUAAUUC
rnacentral:rRNA from 1 species